AAGUUCCGACCUGCACGAAUGGCGUAAUGAUGGCCAGGCUGUCUCCACCCGAGACUCAGUGAAAUUGAACUCGCUGUGAAGAUGCAGUGUACCCGCGGCAAGACGGAAAGACCCCGUGAACCUUUACUAUAGCUUGACACUGAACAUUGAGCCUUGAUGUGUAGGAUAGGUGGGAGGCUUUGAAGUGUGGACGCCAGUCUGCAUGGAGCCGACCUUGAAAUACCACCCUUUAAUGUUUGAUGUUCUAACGUGGGCCCCUAAUCGGGGUUGCGGACAGUGUCUGGUGGGUAGUUUGACUGGGGCGGUCUCCUCCUAAAGAGUAACGGAGGAGCACGAAGGUUGGCUAAUCCUGGUCGGACAUCAGGAGGUUAGUGCAAUGGCAUAAGCCAGCUUGACUGCGAGCGUGACGGCGCGAGCAGGUGCGAAAGCAGGUCAUAGUGAUCCGGUGGUUCUGAAUGGAAGGGCCAUCGCUCAACGGAUAAAAGGUACUCCGGGGAUAACAGGCUGAUACCGCCCAAGAGUUCAUAUCGACGGCGGUGUUUGGCACCUCGAUGUCGGCUCAUCACAUCCUGGGGCUGAAGUAGGUCCCAAGGGUAUGGCUGUUCGCCAUUUAAAGUGGUACGCGAGCUGGGUUUAGAACGUCGUGAGACAGUUCGGUCCCUAUCUGCCGUGGGCGCUGGAGAACUGAGGGGGGCUGCUCCUAGUACGAGAGGACCGGAGUGGACGCAUCACUGGUGUUCGGGUUGUCAUGCCAAUGGCACUGCCCGGUAGCUAAAUGCGGAAGAGAUAAGUGCUGAAAGCAUCUAAGCACGAAACUUGCCCCGAGAUGAGUUCUCCCUGAGACUUAGAGUCUCCUGAAGGAACGUUGAAGACGACGACGUUGAUAGGCCGGGUGUGUAAGCGCAGCGAUGCGUUGAGCUAACCGGUACUAAUGAACCGUGAGGCUUAACCUUACAACGCCGAAG
rnacentral:rRNA from 1 species